rnacentral:rRNA from 1 species
UGCCAGCCGCCGCGGUAAUACGGAGGGUGCAAGCGUUAUUCGGAAUCAUUGGGCGUAAAGGGUGCGUAGACGGUAUGGUAAGUUGGCUGUUAAAUUUCCCGGCCUAACCGGGAACCAGCGGUCAAAACUGCCAAACUAGAGGAUAGGAGAGAGAAGUGGAAUGCUCGGAGUAGCGGUAAAAUGCGUAGAUAUCGAGUGGAACACCGAUGGCGAAGGCAGCUUCUUGGCCUAUUCCUGACGUUGAGGCACGAAAGCGUGGGUAGCAAACAGGAUUAGAUA